rnacentral:rRNA from 1 species
AUCAACGCUGGCGGCGCGCCUUAACACAUGCAAGUCGCACGAGAAAGCAGUAGCAAUACUGUGAGUAAAGUGGCGUACGGGUGAGUAACACGUGGAUCAUCUACCUUCUAGUGGGGAAUACCCCCGGGAAACUGGGGACAAUACCGCAUAAGCUCGUAAGAGGAAAGCAGCAAUGCGCUGGAAGAGGAGUCCGCCGGCUGAUUAGCUAGUUGGCGGGGUAACGGCCCACCAAGGCGAAGAUCGGUAGCCGGCCUGAGAGGGCACACGGCCACACUGGCACUGAAACACGGGCCAGACUCCUACGGGAGGCAGCAGUGGGGAAUCUUGCACAAUGGAGGAAACUCUGAUGCAGCGACGCCGCGUGAGCGAUGAAGCCCUUCGGGGUGUAAAGCUCUUUCGACGGGAACGAUAAUGACGGUACCCGAAGAAGAAGCUUGCGGCUAACCUACGUGCCAGCAGCCGCGGUAAUACGUAGGCAGCAAGCGUUGUUCGGAAUUCACUGGGCGUAAAGAGUGUGCAUAGGCGGUUAGGUUCUAAGUUGCUCGAUUGAAAUCUCCAGGCUCACCUGGAGGUGCAGGCGAACUAAUUGCUAGAGGAUGGGAGCUGGUAAGCGGAAUUCCUCGGUGUAGCAGUGAAAUGCGUAGAUAUCAGGAGGAACACCAGUGGCUUAGCAGCUACUGGACCAUUCCUGACGCUGAGGCACGAAAGCGUGGGUAGCAAACAGGAUUAGAUACCCUGGUAGUCCUACGCCUAAACGUGCAUUAUUGGCUGUAGGAUCGACUUCCCUUUGUUCGUGCGGAGAUCUAACGCGUUAAUAUGCCGCCUGGGAAGUACGGUCGCAAGCUGAAACCUCAAGAGAAUUGACGGGGCCAUGCACAAGCGGUGGAGCAUGUGGAUUCAAUUCGACUGCAACGCCGAAGAACUCUUACCUGGCUGACAGGCUAUAGACAACUCUUGAACAUGACGACGUAUUAGCAAGAGCCUGUGCGACAGGUGCCGCAUGGCUGUCGUCAGCUCGUGUCGUGAGAUGUUGGGUUAAGUCCCGCAACGAGCGCAACCUUGUAGCUGUGUUGCCAUAAUUUAGUCGGGAAAUCUCAGGAGACCGCCAGCGAUAAGCUGGAGGAAGGUGCGGGAUGACUGUCAAGUCAUCAUGCUUUAUGUCAAGGGCUACACACGUGUACAAUGGCCUGGUACGUAAGCGCUGCAAACUCGAAGAGGGAGCUAAUGCAAAAACCGGUCUAAGUUCGGAUGAGUCUUAACUCGGACUCCAUGAAGCUGGAAUCGCUAGUAAUCGCAGAUCAGCAUGCUGCGGAGCAUGAUUAAGUUCCCGGGUAUGUACACACCGCCCUAACAUCACGAAGUGGGUUGUACUAGAAGUGCAGCGCUAACCCGCCGGGAGGCAUGUAACGGUUAUAUCCAUG